UAGGGUGGGGGGAAAUAAAUCGGGAAAAAAUCGGAAAUCGAAUUUAAAAAAAUAAAAUCGGAGAUUUUAUUUUUAGGCCAUAUCGCCCAGCCCUACAACCAAUAAAUACUUUACAUCAAUUAAACAGUGUGUCCUAAAUCUAUUCUAGACCAGGUGUAUUCUUUGAAUGAAUUGAUAAAAAGGAAGACUGUUGGUUUUUCAUGGUUUUUUUUGGAAAGGGUCUGUAUGUGGAAGGUGUUCAUAAUCUAGUCCUCUCUUGUCUUGACUGAACAGAGGUGGAAUUUCCUCCCUCCUUGUCUCCUGCUGAGAGAUCUUAUGUUCAGCAGUUGGCCCAGAAUUUGGGAUUCAUUUCUAGGAACACUGGGAAGGAACCAAAUCGCCUCCUCGUUGUCAGGAAGAAGGAUGUUUUUAAAAAAUGUCCUCCAACCUAUCCCCUCAUAGUCUCCCAGAAUUCCAAGCAUAUCAUCCAAAGUCUGCUCCAGAGGUCAACCUCUAACAAAAAGGAGCAGACGGACAAACAGCUGUGGAACAAAAGUGACUUUUCCACCAUUGAUUCUGGUAAUUUUCAUUCAUGUUAAUAUAAAUGAGUUAAUGUUGUUUUAAAUGCGGCGCAUUUACGAGGCUUUAGUUGGAUUUAUUAUGUUUUACAUCCUACAAAGACAAAAUACUGGUACAUAUUUUUGUAAGUAAUAUAAUACAUACAAAUAUUUUAUUGGAAAACUGCACAUCAUGGGUUUUAAAUAAAUGUAAAAACUAACCAGUAUCCAGUAUUUUCUCAGUGCCAUGAGUGGCGAUGAUGAUUCCUAAUUAAUUUUUACAAAAAUCUAAAUCGUAAAACAACACAAAGUUCGACUAAGAGAAGUAUUUGCAUACAUUUAUAAAGUACAAAUCAAUGCACUCCAAUGGAUGAAGAGGAAUUUUAGUUUUCUAUUUUCCCCCUCAGUUCUGUAUGACAAAUGAUUUGUGAAUGUAAGCUAGAGUCAACAAAUGUCCUGUGUUUGAGGCAGUGUGAGGUUCUGUGUCCUGCUCAAGGACACAUCAGGCACUGUUAGGAUCUGGGAAUUAACUUUGUUAUGAACUUCCACCGCCUCUGAAAGAGCUAAGAGAAGGAGGAAAUGAGAGGGAAUCAUGCGUGAAGAAAUGCUGCUCCUGCAUUACAGCCUCUGGUCUCUUCCUUUUCCCAGAAGUGGAAUCCAAA
rnacentral:lncRNA from 1 species